GUAGAUGUAGUUUAACUAGAACAUUAGGCUGUGAUCCUAAAAACAGAAGUUCAACCCUUCUCAUUUACC
rnacentral:tRNA from 1 species